AAAGAUUUGGAUAAUAAGAAGGGUAAGGAAAGUGAAUAUAGAAGUGGAAUGGCAGCUAAAAAUAAGAAAACAAACAUUAAAGCUAAAGGGAAAGGGGUUGUAAUGUCAAAUGGGCCAAGAUUGGCCCCAAGGGUUUUAAUGCCAGUUAAUAACAUGACGGGUUCUUCAUCAGAGAGUGGGUUGAAACCAUUUGAUAAUGGUGAGAAAAUAGGCCUUAAAGAUGAUGCUAACCCAUUUUUUGGUUCAACUCGUUCAGAUGAUAGGGUCCCUAGAUAUCAACAAAAGAAAGGCUGUCAAGUUGGUUUAGUCACGAAACAAUGCUCCAAUCCUGAAAGUGAAAUCGCUUCUUUCAAAUUUGGGGAACGCAACAUGGAUGACAAGAAUACGGGUCAACGAUCGACGAGAUUGGAGGAAACCCAGCGCACAAGACCACCAGAUAUAGAAUUGGAGAUUUCAAAGCAUCCCUCGGUGGAGGUAACGAUGGUUAUGAAGAAAAUAUUUGAAGGCAUUGAAAGGGAAUCAGGUAUGAGAGAUUCACGUGAUGUGGAAUCCAUGGCUGUAGAGAUUUUGAGAUGAGGAAGGUCUCAAUGUUGAACCAAGCUACUGAUUAGGGACCUCGAUUUUUAUUUCUUUUAUAAUUAUUUAUCUUUGAUGAAUUCGCAAAUUGUUUUUUAGAAUUGUUAGGGCAUUGACCAUCCAAAGUUUCAUAACUUUGUUAAAGAAUAUAAAAGGGAAUUUUCCCUAGAUUUAAUUAGUUUUUUUGAAACUCAUGUAAGUGGUCAAAGGAUUGAUGGAUAAUUGGCAAGUUGGGUUACCAAAAUUCGUUUAAAAUUGAAGCGAGUGACUUUUUCGGAGGAAUUUGAUUAAUUUGGAAUGGGAAUGUUGAUAUUGAGAUUUUGUAUUUGCAUCCUCAAGUGAUCCGCAUGAGGUUCUGUAGUAAGCGAAUGAAUUAUACUUUCUUGGUUUUAGCGAUUUAUGCUAGCCCUCAAUAUGCUAAAAGACGUAACUUGUGGCAAGUUUUGGAUUUACUUGUAAUGAAUGUUAAUGAGGCUUGGAUAAUAGGUGGAGAUUUUAAUGCAAUUUUGGACAACUCGGAUAGAAAAUGAGGUGCUAAUAGAGUGGGCUAUGGUUAUAAACAUUUUAACGAGUUUGUGUUCAAAAAUAGACUUUGAGAUAUGGGGUUUUCUGGUCCACGAUUUACAUAGAGUAGGGGAAAUUUAUUUCAGAGACUUGAUAGAGUCUUAUGCAACACACGGUGGGAUGAUAUAACUCUAAAUUAUUUUGUUCGACAUCUUCAUAGGUUAAAAUUAAACCAUCGACCGUUGUUGGUUGUGCCAAGCAAUGCCCCUCAUAACUCUGAUCGUUAACCUUUUCUAUUUUUAGCAAGUUGGUUAAUUCAUUUAGAGCUUAAGAAUUUGGUUCGCACUUACUGGAAAAGGAAUCUUGCGGUAGCUUCAGAUCUCAAAGCAGUUUAAGUCAAUGGUUCAAGUUUAAAAUAAGAAGCUUUAUGGUAACAUGUUCGUUAGGAAGAAAGAGUUGAUUAUGGAACUCAAACGUGUUCAGAGGAUAUUGGAGUUUCGUCAAUUGACCCGUUUGAAUGUGAGGGAGGCUGAGCUUCAAAAGGAAAUUGAUGAUUUGUUAAAACAUGAGGAGAACAUUUGGUGUCAGAAAUCUCGAGCUGAGUGACUUACGAAUAGAGAUAGGAAUACUAAGUACUUCCAUUGGAGGUUGGUGUUUUGAUUAAGAAAUCCUACAACAACACUUUUUCCAAGAACUCUACACAGCUGGAAUUCGAGUAACGGGAAGUUUUCCAUGUCGGAGCAUAUUCCCUAUAACAUCAGAAUAUGAUCGAGAGUUACUAUUGAUGGUGCCUACUGAUGAGGAAAUUUGUAGAGCUAUGUUUAGUAUGUUGGGUUUCAUGCGAAAUUCUACCAGUCAUAUUGAGAAAUUAUUAGGGAGUCUGUUUGUUCGUUAGUUCAGAGGGUUCUUGUGGGCUAGAGGCUAGAUUGUAAUAUCAACCAGACUUUGUUUAUUUUGAUCCCAAAAGUUUCGGGGCCUAGGAUUCUUUCCUAAUUUCAUCAGAUUAGCUUAUAUACGAUUUUAUACAAUAUCGUCACUAAAACUAUUGUUAAUAAGCUUAGACCGAUCAUGGCGGACAUUGUUAAAUAAAACCAGGCAAGUUUCAUACCUGGAAGGAAUAUUUUGGACAAUAUUAUUGUGGCACAAGAGGCUGUUCAUACAAUAAAGACAACCAAAGAGAAGAACUACUGGAUGACUUUAAAAGUUGACCUGGAAAAAGCCUACGAUUGCAUCCGCUGGGAUUUUUGGAAAAGACCUUGGUAGAUGCAGGAUUCCUUUUAGAACUAGUAAAUGUGAUUAUGAAUUGUGUAUCUUCUUCGACUUUGCAGGCCCUUUGGAAUGGGGAAGCUUCUGAUCCAUUUUAUCCUUUCCGUGAAAUAUGACAAGGGGAUCCCCUUUCACCUUAUUUGUUCGUGUUCUGCAUGGAAUGAUUUGGCCAUGUGAUUGAAAAGGUUGUUGAAAGGAAGACAUAGAGUUCGUCACUUCUAUUGAGACGAGGUCUGACUUUUUCACAUCUAUUUUUUGCUAACGAUUUAAUUUUAUUUUGUAAGACAGAAAGGGGUGAGGUUGAAUAUGUUAAUACGGUCAUCAAUACUUUUUGCAACUUCUUUGGAUAGAAGGUCAAUAGGAGUAAAACUCAGAUAUUCUUUUCAAAUAAUACGCCGGAGGACGUAGCUUGGACAAUUUGUGGAGAUCUCGAAGUUUCAAGGGUGAAUGAUCUUGGAAAAUAUCUUGGCAUGUCAAUUUUCCAUCAGAUGGUCAUGCUAGAUACCUUUGCCUUUGUGAUUGAUAAGAUUUGGUGUAAGCUCAGUGGAUAGAAAGCAAAAAACCUCUCGUUGGCAGGAAGAAUCACGUUCGCUAAAUCUGUCCUCUUAGUCAUUCCAAACUAUUUCAUGUGCAUGACUCGUUUACCUUUUUCUAUCUGUAGGAAUAUUGAGAAGAUCAUUCAAGAUUUUAUUUGGGGUUCUAGUGAGGAAUCAUAGAAAUCUGCUUUGUUGAAUUGGACUAUUUGCUACAGGCCUUUGGAUAAUGGGGGGCCUGGAUUGAGGAGCUUUGCUGAUCACAAUAGAGUUUUCCCAUUAAAGGUUAGUUUCAACAUUAUCACUAAUCUAGAAGCCUUAUGGGUGAGAGUGUUGAGGAACAAAUAUAAUGCUCAAGGGUUGAUGCCAGGGUCGAUCUCAAGAAGCUGUUGUUCGUUCAUUUAGAAGUCCAUCACGAAAGUUUGGCCAGAGGUUAUUGAUAAUAGUUUCUAGUCGAUUAGAGAUGGUCGUUUGGUGAACUUUUGGAAUGAUGUAUGGCUUAGGCAACUUGGACCACUUCGAUGUUUCUUUGCAAGACCUGGCCAACCUGAUGAAACUCUCAAAGUGUGUGAUAUGAUGGACGUUUUUGGUAGGUGGGACUGGACACGACUUAACCUACUUUUGCUUAACCAUGUUCUACUUCAAAUUGCAACUAGAUUACCCCAUUGUCUGGAUGCAGGGGCUGACCGACUUGCUUGGAAAUGGUUAGCUAGUGACUUUUUUUCCUCUGUUGAAACUUAUAAGAACCUGACGACUUUGAGAAUGUCGAUCCAUCCUUGAAUUGUGAUUUGGUUUGGAAGUGUAAGGCAUCGUAAAAGGUGGGCCACAAGCAUUAUGGACUCUAAAUCUUGUGACCUAUUUUGCAUACAGAAGGUGUUGGAUACAUAUUGGAUGCCAUCGGAGAGAGGGUGAGUUAAGCUUAAUAUCGAUGGUGGAGUUUCGAUCUUUAGUAACACCGCCUCGAUCGAAGGAGUUUUUAGAGAUUGUUGUGCCAAUUGGUUAUAUGGCUUUGUUAUGAGGACUGGAAAGGAGUCAAUCAUCAAAAUUGAGGUAAGAGUUAUUCUAGAAAGACUCAAGUUAGCAUGGGAAUUGGGUUUUAGACAAUUGGAGGUGGAAAGUGAUAAGGCUCUAGUAGUGGAAAUGUUGUUAUUUGGAAGUGUUGCAAAUAGUGAAAUGUCGAAGUUGCGUUUGGUACAUCAACUCCUGUGUCCCAACUGGAAAAUGCAACUUUGUCAUAUUCCUCGACACCUUAAUGUUGUUGAUUCUUUAGCUAAAAGUGUAAUUUUCAAUUGCAAUGAGUUACAGGUAUUUGCAGAACCCCCAAGCUCAAUACAAAAUAUUCUCAAAGCGAAUCUUGAUCGUAUGGUGUCUUUAAAAUUA